AUUGAACGCUGGCGGCAUGCCUUACACAUGCAAGUCGAACGGCAGCACGGACUUCGGUCUGGUGGCGAGUGGCAAACGGGUGAGUAAUGUAUCGGAACGCACCUUUCAGUGGGGGAUAACGUAGCGAAAGUUACGCUAAUACCGCAUAUUCUGUGAGCAGGAAAGCAGGGGAUCGCAAGACCUUGCGCUGAUUGAGCGGCCGAUAUCAGAUUAGCUAGUUGGUGAGGUAAAGGCUCACCAAGGCGACGAUCUGUAGCGGGUCUGAGAGGAUGAUCAGCAACACUGGAACUGAGACACGGUCCAGACUCCUACGGGAGGCAGCAGUGGGGAAUUUUGGACAAUGGGGGCAACCCUGAUCCAGCCAUGCCGCGUGAGUGAAGAAGGCCUUCGGGUUGUAAAGCUCUUUCGGCCGGGAAGAAAUCGUAUGGGUUAAUACCCUGUGCGGAUGACGGUACCGGCAUAAGAAGCACCGGCUAACUACGUGCCAGCAGCCGCCGUAACAC
rnacentral:rRNA from 1 species